rnacentral:rRNA from 1 species
GUCUAGGGCCAUACCACCCUGAACGCGCCCGAUCUCGUCUCAUCUCAGAAGCUAAGCAGGGUCGGGUCUGGUUAGUACUUGGAUGGGAGAAUUUAUACACUGAUGUGC